rnacentral:misc_RNA from 1 species
AAAACAUUUAAUUGGUCAAAUAAGAAACUCUGAUGUGAUUUUGCCAGGGAAAUAAGAUAUAAAGAAUUAAACUUGCUAAAUAAAGACGGUCAUAUUUUUCCUGUAGCAAAUUGCAGCACAUUCAGCUGAUCAAGUUAAUUAUCAGAAUUUCACCUGAGUAAAUUCGACAAAUUAUCCUCCUAACAUGAAUAUGAUUAAGCAAACAUCAUUUGAAUGAAUA